CCUACGGGUGGCAGCAGUGGGGAAUAUUGCACAAUGGGGGAAACCCUGAUGCAGCAACGCCGCGUGAGUGAAGAAGUAUUUCGGUAUGUAAAGCUCUAUCAGCAGGGAAGAAGGAAGACGGUACCUGACUAAGAAGCCCCGGCUAACUACGUGCCAGCAGCCGCGGUAAUACGUAGGGGGCGAGCGUUAUCCGGAUUUACUGGGUGUAAAGGGAUCGUAGACGGUUAAUCAAGUCUGAAGUGAAAGCCUGCGGCUCAACUGCGGAACGGCUUUGGAAACUGAGUAACUAGAGUGCUGGAGGGGCAGGCGGAAUUCCUGGUGUAGCGGUGAAAUGCGUAGAUAUCAGGAGGAACACCGGUGGCGAAGGCGGCCUGCUGGACAGUAACUGACGUUGAGGCUCGAAAGCGUGGGGAGCAAACAGGAUUAGAUACCCUAGUAGUC
rnacentral:rRNA from 1 species